UCUGGGUGAGGUGGUGCAUGCCUGUAAUCCCAGCUGCUUGGGAGGCUGAGGCAGGAGGAUCAUGAGUUCAAAAGCCAGCCUCAGCAAUGUGGAGGCACUAAGCAAUUCAGUGAGACCCUGUCUCUA
rnacentral:sRNA from 1 species